rnacentral:rRNA from 1 species
AGCCACGGCCACACCGCCUGGUUCACGCCCGAUCUCGUUUGAUCUCGGAAGCUAAGAUAGGGUGGGCCUGGUUAGUACUUGGAUGGGAGACCGCCUGGGAAUACCAGGUGUUGUAAGAU